AAGAAAAUAACAACAAAAAGCAGAAUAGAAAUGAGUUGGACGAGAUGAUACCGAAGAAUGCGAUGAAACAACGUUACAAUAUAAGCUGUAAGGAAAAUACGACAAAACUCUCUGCGCGCCUGCAAUCUUUCCUGCGAUUCGAACACGCAACCGAGUUUGCCUCCCACAAUUCAUAGCGUUGUUCAAUUGCUGUGCAUCGUGUAGUGCAGAAGAAGGUAAAGUUAUCCUGCAAAUGGCGCAGCAGUCGCUGAUUUAUAGCUUUGUUUCGAGGGGUACUGCUAUUUUGGCCGACCACACGGAUUUCACCGGAAAUUUUACCUUAAUUGCGUACCAGUGCCUGGAAAAGCUUCCUACUACAAACAACAAAUUCACAUACAAUUGUGAUCGCCACACUUUUAACUAUCUCGUUGAAGAUGGAUUCACAUAUGGUGUUGUUGCAGAGGAAUCAGUUGGACGGCAAGUACCAAUGGCCUUCCUUGAGCGUAUCAAAGAAGAUUUUAAGAAGAGAUACAGUGGUGGAAGAGCUGAAAUAGCUAUUUCUAAUAGCCUUAACAAGGAGUUUGGACCUAAAUUGAAGGAGCAUAUGGACUAUUGUGCGGAGCAUCCAGAAGAGAUAACCAAAAUUUCCAGAGUGAAAGCUCAGGUUUCAGAGGUUAAAGGUGUCAUGAUGGAAAACAUUGAGAAGGUCAUUGAUCGCGGUGAGACAAUUUCUGUAAUGGUAGACAGGGCAGAUAACCUUCGAACUGAGGCAGAAGACUUUCGGAGAACCGGUACUCAGAUACGCAGGAAAAUGUGGUUCCAGAAUAUGAAGAUGAAGCUCAUUGUUCUUGCUAUUGUCAUCGUCUUGAUUCUCAUAAUAUGGCUCUCUAUAUGCAAAGGAUUCAAAUGCUAGCACUUUGUAUUGACACGAUUUUAGUUUUUGGUGUAAGGGUAUGCAUAGCAUCUGUAUUCUUACUAUUUCAUACCAUAUUGAAAUCAGUUUUCUUGGGAGGGGAUUUUAUCUGCCAUUUAUUUGUGUUUAAAUACUAUUAUUUCGAAUUUUGUGCUUUCUGGUGGUGAUGUUGUAUAUCCCUAUGAUUAUAGGAAUUGCUUAGUAAAUGUAUUUAGUGUAUAUUAUACCAA